GUGCACACCUAAAAGUUGGCAAGGUGAUGGAGAAACUGGUUGAACUGACUGAAGCUGUGGAGAACAGAUUGGCUGCAGGAGCAGUAACAUCAGCGACUCUGCAGCAGAUUCCUACAACCCAUCUCAUGAGGUAAAAAGGAUCCACAGGAGUCUGGAGGAUGGGCACAAAUACAGAGGAAAUGAGAGAUUCAUGUCUGAGCACAACUCCGGUGGCACAAAUUCAAUGUUGUGGUCAAUUGCAGAUGAAGAGGAAUGUGACACCUCUUUGAUCAGAAGAGCAACAGAUACUUUGAGAACAUCAGGAGGGAAUCUAAGUUGUCAGAAGACAAAGUGGAAGAGGAUCGGAGGGCCAAAGCUCUCAACAACCGAAGACAUAGACUUUUCAAUUCACGCCGAUCUGCUGCUCGCUCAUCUUAACCAAUGAGGAGUACAGAUACCUGGAACGGGUGCCUGCAUGCAUGAUGAGCGACGAGGAGACGGACCCUGAAGACAAAGACGUGUGGAAAGCACAUCCACCUGAAUGGAGGGCAACAA